UAGGGAAUUUUGGGCAAUGGGCGAAAGCCUGACCCAGCAACGCCGCGUGUGGGAUGAAGGCCCUCGGGUCGUAAACCACUGUCAGGAGGAAAGAAAAGUCGGCCGGAUAAUACUCGGUCGACCUGACGGUACCUCCAAAGGAAGCACCGGCUAACUCCGUGCCAGCAGCCGCGGUAAUACGGAGGGUGCAAGCGUUGUUCGGAUUUACUGGGCGUAAAGGGCGCGUAGGCGGCAUGACAAGUCACUUGUGAAAUCUCUGGGCUUAACCCAGAACGGCCAAGUGAUACUGUCGCGCUAGAGUGCAGAAGGGGCAAUCGGAAUUCUUGGUGUAGCGGUGAAAUGCGUAGAUAUCAAGAGGAACACCUGAGGUGAAGACGGGUUGCUGGGCUGACACUGACGCUGAGGCGCGAAAGCCAGGGGAGCAAACGGGAUUAGAUACCCCAGUAGUCCCUGAGCGGGCUGGCAAGGCGCAU
rnacentral:rRNA from 1 species